UUCCUGCUGUGAAGUAUUUAACCUCCGUCUGAUAUUCAGUGCAUCUGCAGCGGCAAGUUAAAGGAUCGCUAUGACGACUCAAGUUCUCAUCACACUCGUAGCCUCCGCUCUGUGGAUCCAAGUUCAUUGCCAGGAUGUGACCCAAUCCCCUGACAUCAGCUGGAGCUUUGCAUCCCAAUCAGCAGAGAUGAACUGCAGCCACAAAAAGGACUUUUCUUAUAACCAGAUGUACUGGUACAGGCAGCGACCAGGGGAGACCAUGAGGCUCAUCGUCUACACAGCUGCUGGUGGCCAGCCGGACUACGGUGGAGUGUCUCAAACUAAAUACACAGCAAGCAAAGAAAAAUACGACUACGGGGCUCUAACGGUGAAAGAUCUGCAGCCUGAAGACAGCGGAGUGUAUUUUUGUGCCGUUGGCAAACCAGGGGGGGAUAAUGCUGAAGCUUACUUCGGUGGAGGAACGAAAUUAACCGUUUUAGGUAAGAAACUCACAAAACAGCAUCAUAACUGAAGAGUUCUUGAACAUAAAUCUAGUUAAACUUCAGGUCGAUGCUUUCUGUUCUUAAAAAAUGAGUCUUAUUUUAGCCAGAGAAUGAAACUGUUCUUAUGAGGUAAAACUAUAUUAUAAAGCUGCUAAUGGAGACGUUUGUCCUGCAGAUAUUUAGUAAUGACAGACUAAAGUUGUUGGUUUGGAAGAAGAGUUGCAUUUAUGAUGAAGCUAAACAGUAAAGAAGCAAAGUAGAAGCAGCAUCCUGGAUUGUUUUUAUACUGAUCAGCUGCACUGUGACUCUGGUGUUGGUAAUGAAGCUUACUUCGGUGGAGGAACUAAAUUAACCGUUUUAGGUAAGAAAACAUUAAAUGUGGCUCAGAAAUGUUUUGUCUAGAGGCACAAACAAUCUCCAUUAGUUAUACCUGCUGCUAGAUUAGGAAAUCUUCGACUAUAUUAAUUACAGAGAGUAAAAGGUAAUAAGUGAGGCAGUAGGAAGAGUUUUUGUUGCAGCUGAAAGUCUCUGUGCUCCAACACCGAGGCUUACUUUGGAGCUGGAACUAAACUCACUGUUUUAGGUAAGAAAACAGCUAAAAGCUCAUUGAAUAUAGUUUAGAAAUGAAUCUGUAAAGAUGUUUUUAAUACUGUCAAGAUGAACUACAAGGCUCAAACAACCAUUAAUAGUUAUAACUGCAACUAGA